rnacentral:rRNA from 1 species
AGAGUUUGAUCAUGGCUCAGAACGUACGCUGGCGGCACGCCUAACACAUGCAAGUCGAACGCAGUAGCAAUACUGAGUGGCAAACGGGUGAGUAUAAUGUGGGAAUCUGCCUUUUGGUUUGGAAUAACACGGGGAAACUUGUGCUAAUACCGAAUAAGCCUUUACAGGGAAAGUUUUAACGCCGAAAGAUGAGCCCGCACUUGAUUAGCUAGUUGGUAAGGUAAAAGCUUACCAAGGCAACGAUCAAUAGCUGUUCUUAGAGGAAGACCAGCCACAUUGGGACUGAGACACGGCCCAGACUCCUACGGGAGGCAGCAGUGGGGAAUCUUGCACAAUGGGGGAAACCCUGAUGCAGCGAUGCCGCGUGAGUGAAGAAGGCCCUUGGGUUGUAAAACUCUUUCGUCGGGGAAGAAAAUGACUGUACCCGAAUAAGAAGGUCCGGCUAACUUCGUGCCAGCAGCCGCGGUAAUACGAAGGGACCUAGCGUAGUUCGGAAUUACUGGGCUUAAAGAGCUCGUAGGUGGUUAAAAAAGUUGAUGGUGAAAUCCCAAGGCUUAACCUUGGAACUGCCAUCAAAACUUUUUAGCUAGAGUGUGAUAGAGGUAAGUGGAAUUUCUAGUGUAGAGGUGAAAUUCGUAGAUAUUAGAAAGAACACCAAAUGCGAAGGCAACUUACUGGGUCACUACUGACACUGAGGAGCGAAAGCAUGGGUAGCGAAGAGGAUUAGAUACCCUCGUAGUCCAUGCCGUAAACGAUGUGUGCUAGACGUUGGAAAUAUAUUUUUCAGUGUCGCAGCGAAAGCA